AAGGGAGACCUAAUUCAGGUAGGAGACGAAAAAAAAGUAGUCGCUACCAAGAAUCAAUCCCAAAAGGUCGGAGCGAGGCGAAAUUGGCUUUCAAACUAGGUUCUGGGUUCACACAAGACCUGAAUCAGGAACAAGGGCUAUUAGCUCAGGUGGUUAGAGCGCACCCCUGAUAAGGGUGAGGUCCCUGGUUCGAGUCCAGGAUGGCCCACCUGCACAGGUGGCAAAAACAAGAGAAGCUCCGAAUCAGCACCUUAUCUUACUGACAUAGUAAGAGAGAAUGCUGGCUCUGAGUAAAGAGUCCAGAGGAACCUUGAAAACUGCAUAGAGCUAGGUGAAAAAGCCAAAAAAGAAGACCGCAAGGUCAAGCUAAUAAGGGCUAACGGUGGAUACCUAGGCAC
rnacentral:tRNA from 1 species